rnacentral:lncRNA from 1 species
CCUUCUGAAAUUCCUGCUGGGUCCCACACAACCGAGCCUGUAGUUGUGGCUCCAGCUGCUGCUGCUGCUGCUCCAGCUCCUGGGAAAUAUGUUCCUAGGUUCCGGCGAGAAAGGCCUGAAAGCUCUGGUCCAGCUCCACCUUCUGAACCUGAUCGAUGGGGCAAGCCAGCACCCUCGGAACCUGACCGAUGGGCUGCUGGUAGCAGGGCUCCUCCACUCCAAUCUGAUCGCAGGACUAGUGGCAGUAGGGCUCCACCUCAGGAUUCUGAUCGUUUGGCAGGUGGUGGUAGCAGAGCUACACCUCCAGAUUCGAAUCGUUUUGGUGGUGGUAGUGGGAGCAGCAAGGCAGAACCCUGGCGAUCUUCAAGGGCCAGGAACCCACAACGCGGUUGAUCCGACUGCUG